rnacentral:rRNA from 1 species
AUUAAAGGGCCGCGGUAUUUUAACCGUGCAAAGGUAGCAUAAUCAUUAGGUUUUUAAUUAGAAUCUUGUAUGAAUGGUUCGACAAAAGAAAUACUGUCUUUAUGUUAAAAUUUGAAUUUAACUUUUAAGUGAAAAGGCUUAAAUAUAUUAAAGGGACGAUAAGACCCUAUAAAACUUUACAUUGUAAUUUUAUUUAAUUAAAUUUAUAAGAUAAAAAUUUGAUUUAAUUAUAUGUUAUGUUGGGGAGACAGAAGUAAAAAAAAAAUUUUAACUGCUUUAUGUUAAAACAUAUAUUUAUGAAAUAUUAAAUGAUCCUUUAUAAAGAUUAAAAGAUUAAGUUACUUUAGGGAUAACAGCGUUAUUUUUUUUGAGAGUUCCUAUCGAAAAGAAAGUUUGCGACCUCGAUGUUGAAUUAAAAUAUCUUUAUAGUGCAGAAGCUAUAAAAGAAGGUCUGUUCGACCUUUAAAUUUUUACAUGAUUUGAGUUCA